UACGGGGGGAGCAAGCGUUGUUCGGAUUUACUGGGCGUAAAGGGCGCGUAGGCGGUCAGCACAAGUCAGUUGUGAAAUCUCCGGGCUUAACUCGGAAAGGUCAACUGAUACUGUGCGACUAGAGUGCAGAAGGGGCAACUGGAAUUCUCGGUGUAGCGGUGAAAUGCGUAGAUAUCGAGAGGAACACCUGCGGCGAAGGCGGGUUGC
rnacentral:rRNA from 1 species